UACGAAGGGGGCUAGCGUUGUUCGGAUUUACUGGGCGUAAAGCGCACGUAGGCGGGUUGUUAAGUCAGGGGUGAAAUCCUGGAGCUCAACUCCAGAACUGCCUUUGAUACUGGCAACCUAGAGGCUGGAAGAGGUUAGUGGAAUUCCCAGUGUAGAGGUGAAAUUCGUAGAUAUUGGGAAGAACACCAGUGGCGAAGGCGGCUAACUGGUCCAGAACUGACGCUGAGGUGCGAAAGCGUGGGGAGCAAACAGG
rnacentral:rRNA from 1 species